UACGGGGGGGGCAAGCGUUGUUCGGAAUUACUGGGCGUAAAGGGCUCGUAGGUGGCCAACUAAGUCAGACGUGAAAUCCCUCGGCUUAACCGGGGAACUGCGUCUGAUACUGGAUGGCUUGAGUGUGGGAGAGGGAUGCGGAAUUCCAGGUGUAGCGGUGAAAUGCGUAGAUAUCUGGAGGAACACCGGUGGCGAAGGCGGCAUCCUGGACCACGACUGACGCUGAGGAGCGAAAGCGUGGGGAGCGAUCCGG
rnacentral:rRNA from 1 species